CCUUAGAGACCAACUAAGUUUGUUCUUGGUAUGAGCUUUCUUGUGCAUGCACAUGAAAGCUCAUACCAAGAACAAAUUUAGUUGGUCUCUAUGG